rnacentral:rRNA from 1 species
CAAUAGCGUAUAUUAAAGUUGUUGCAGUUAAAAAGCUCGUAGUUGGAUUUCGGGGUGGCCUGCCUGGUCCACCGCAAGGUGAGUACUGGUCAGCCGCCCUUCCUCUCGAAAGCCCCGACUGCUCUUCAUUGCAGUGGUCGGGUAGUUCGGGACGUUUACUUUGAAAAAAUUAGAGUGUUCAAAGCAGGCCUACGCUCUGAAUACAUUAGCAUGGAAUAACACGAUAGGACUCUGGCCUAUCUUGUUGGUCUGUAGGACCGGAGUAAUGAUUAAGAGGGACAGUCGGGGGCAUUCGUAUUUCAUUGUCAGAGGUGAAAUUCUUGGAUUUAUGAAAGACGAACUACUGCGAAAGCAUUUGCCAAGGAUGUUUUCAUUAA